rnacentral:rRNA from 1 species
AGUACGGCGGAACACGAGAAAUUCCGUCGGAAUCCGCGGGGACCAUCCCGCAAGGCUAAAUACUCCCUAGUGACCGAUAGUGAACCAGUACCGUGAGGGAAAGGUGAAAAGCACCCCGGAAGGGGAGUGAAAUAGAUCCUGAAACCGUGUGCCUACAACAAGUCAAAGCUCGUUAAUGAGUGAUGGCGUGCCUUUUGUAGAAUGAACCGGCGAGUUACGAUUGCAUGCGAGGUUAAGUCGAAGAGACGGAGCCGCAGCGAAAGCGAGUCUGAAUAGGGCGAAUGAGUAUGUAGUCGUAGACCCGAAACCAUGUGAUCUACCCAUGUCCAGGUUGAAGGUGCGGUAAAACGCACUGGAGGACCGAACCCACGUACGUUGAAAAGUGCGGGGAUGAGGUGUGGGUAGCGGAGAAAUUCCAAACGAACUUGGAGAUAGCUGGUUCUCUCCGAAAUAGCUUUAGGGCUAGCCUCGGAAUUGAGAAUGAUGGAGGUAGAGCACUGUUUGGACUAGGGGCCCAUCUCGGGUUACCGAAUUCAGAUAAACUCCGAAUGCCAUUCAUUUAUAUCCGGGAGUCAGACUGCGAGUGAUAAGAUCCGUAGUCGAAAGGGAAACAGCCCAGACCACCAGCUAAGGUCCCAAAAUAUAUGUUAAGUGGAAAAGGAUGUGGGGUUGCACAGACAACUAGGAUGUUGGCUUAGAAGCAGCCACCAUUUAAAGAGUGCGUAAUAGCUCACUAGUCGAGUGACCCUGCGCCGAAAAUGUACCGGGGCUAAACAUAUUACCGAAGCUGUGGACUACACCAUUAGGUGUAGUGGUAGGAGAGCGUUCUAAGGGCGUUGAAGGUCGAUCGUGAGGACGGCUGGAGCGCUUAGAAGUGAGAAUGCCGGUAUGAGUAGCGAAAGACAGGUGAGAAUCCUGUCCACCGUAUGACUAAGGUU